GACUGCUUUGAUGUUCUUGCGUGGUAUGUAGAUAAUCCAUCUCUCUACAAUGUGAUAUCUUCUCUUCAAAUGAUUCCAUAACUUGCAUUAUUUUUCUUUUUAGAUCUCUUUUCUUUCUUCUCAGUGAUGGAAGUCUCAAUUUACCUACUUUAUGAUUGUUAACAAAUGAUCAGUUCACUUUACUAAUUUUUUCCUCCAGUUUUUGUGGGUUUUGCUUACUCUUUGCGCUAAUUGGUUUUGAUUCUCUUGCUUGCAGGCCUCUCUUUGCUUUGG
rnacentral:misc_RNA from 1 species